rnacentral:rRNA from 1 species
AUUGAACGCUGGCGGCAGGCUUAACACAUGCAAGUCGAGCGAGCGGCGGACGGGUGAGUAAUGUCUGGGAAACUGCCUGAUGGAGGGGGAUAACUAGUGGAAACGGUAGCUAAUAACGCAUACCAUCAGAUGUGCCCAGAUGGGAUUAGCUAGUAGGUGGGGUAAUGGCUCACCUAGGGGACGAUCCCUAGCUGGUCGGAGAGGAUGACCGGCCACACGGGAACUGAGACACGGUCCAGACUCCUACGGGAGGCAGCAGUGGGGAAUAUUGGACAAUGGGGGCAAUCCUGCUGCAGCCAUGCGGCGGGUGUGAAGAAGGCCUUCGGGUGGUAAAGCACUUUAAGCGGGGAGGCGUUACUCGCAGAAGAAGCACCGGCUAACUCCGUGCCAGCCGCCGCGGUAAUAC